rnacentral:rRNA from 1 species
UACGUAGGGGGCAAGCGUUGUCCGGAUUUAUUGGGCGUAAAGAGCUCGUAGGCGGUCUGUCGCGUCUGCUGUGAAAACCCGAGGCUCAACCUCGGGCCUGCAGUGGGUACGGGCAGACUAGAGUGCGGUAGGGGAGAAUGGAACUCCUGGUGUAGCGGUGGAAUGCGCAGAUAUCAGGAAGAACACCGAUGGCGAAGGCAGUUCUCUGGGCCGUAACUGACGCUGAGGAGCGAAAGCGUGGGGAGCGAACAGG